rnacentral:lncRNA from 1 species
UUUUAAAAAACUGAUAAAAAUUCUUCAUAAAAGGUUCAUGAGGCGUUAAGAACAUCAACACAGUAAGAGACCUUCUCAAAAAACAGAAACCAAAACAAUAAUAGAAUACACAGCGAGAGAGACAUCACAGUAAGAGACCUUCUCAAAAAACAGAAACCAAAACAACAAUAGAAUACACAGCGAGAGAGACAUCACAGUAAGAGACCUUCUCAAAAAACAGAAACCAAAACAACAAUAGAAUACACCGCGAGAGAGACAUCACAAUAAGAGAUUUUUCAAAAGAAACUAAAAAUACAACAGCAAACAUAGCCAUAAACGCAGUAAAGCUUUUUUUCAAAACCCUAAAAAACGAAACAGAAGAAGGAGGCUUAUUUGGAGACGGGACGCAUCAAACUCAGCUUCAUCUUCUUCUCCUUCCAACGAAUCCUUCCAAACCUCCAAACGUGCACCUCUUCUCCUCCUUCGAUCGCGAACCCACACACUCCACACCCUCAUUUUCUA